rnacentral:rRNA from 1 species
CACCGCGGUUAUACGAGAUGACCCCAGUUGAUAGACACGGCGUAAAGAGUGGUUAUGGGUAAAAUAAGUAAAGUCAAAUAUUCUUUUAGCUGUAGAAAGCAUUUUAAGAACACGAAGCCCCACUACGAAAGUAACUUUAUUACCUCCUGACCCCACGAAAGCUGAGAAA